rnacentral:snRNA from 1 species
AAUCGUUCGUCUGACUUGGG